GUGAACGUGAUGAGAUGAGAUGUGGAGCCGGAAGCUUGCUCGGUCUCCUGCUUAUCUAUGAAAUGUGUAACGAACAACGCUUCGAUCUGGACCAGAAAGGCCUCCGUCUCUGGGAUCUCUGGGAGAACCGUCCUAAGUGAUGCAUGUGAGGGAGGAGUCUCUGCGGUAGAGUCUUUCCAUGGGCACACAACUGCAGAAAAAGUCACACAGAGGGUCACACAGUAAACGAAACUGGCACAGAUGACCAACACUACCAUACUCAAGAAUUUCGACUGUUUUCGCUGUGCUGUGAAAAUACUAUUUGUGCAAAACGUCUAAAAUGACUUGUUAAAAUGAAGUGAAGAAAAUGCUGAAUUUUGUAAAAUGCACCAAAUUGUUCAAUCUUUGACCACAAUUGUAAAUGAAGCCCAGAGAGGGAAAUUUAUGAUCAUUGCAUUGGUAUGGGUAAUCAAAAUUUUUUGACUAGUUUUGCAACACACCAACAGAUGGCAGCACAAGGCUGCACACACAGUCACAGGAAUCGCUGACCUUCAUAAGUCGUCGCUGUAUCCCUGUGCAGGGGGACUGUUUUGAAGGUGCUAGUGUGUAAUAAUAGAUAAAUAAAUUUCUUUUUUGUAAACGGA